rnacentral:pre_miRNA from 4 species
ACUGAAAUUGCUGGAUCAUAAGGAAAACUCAUGUUUCACUUUUUAAGAAAUUGCCAAACUGUUUUCCAAAGUAGCUGUGCCUUUUUAUAUUGCUACCAGCAAU